AUAUUCAAGGUUCGCAAUGGCCA
rnacentral:siRNA from 1 species